GAUGAACGCUAGCUACAGGCUUAACACAUGCAAGUCGAGGGGCAGCAUGAUUGAAGCUUGCUUCAAUUGAUGGCGACCGGCGCACGGGUGAGUAACACGUAUCCAACCUUCCGUACACUCAGGGAUAGCCUUUCGAAAGAAAGAUUAAUAUCCGAUAGCAUAUUGAGAUCGCAUGAUUUUGAUAUUAAAGAAUUUCGGUUAUCGAUGGGGAUGCGUUCCAUUAGGCAGUUGGCGGGGUAACGGCCCACCAAACCUACGAUGGAUAGGGGUUCUGAGAGGAAGGUCCCCCACAUUGGAACUGAGACACGGUCCAAACUCCUACGGGAGGCAGCAGUGAGGAAUAUUGGUCAAAUGGACGAGAGUCUGAACCAGCCAAGUAGCGUGAAGGAUGACUGCCCUAUGGGUUGUAAAACUUCUUUUAUACGGGAAUAAAGUUAGCCACGUGUGGUUUUUUGAUGUACCGUAUGAAUAAGGAUCGGCUAAACUCCGUGCCAGC
rnacentral:rRNA from 1 species